rnacentral:tRNA from 1 species
AGAGUUGUGGCUCAGUGGUAGAGCACUCGCCUGGCAUGUGAGAAGCACAGGGUUUGAUUCUCAGCACUG